GAUGAACGCUAGCUACAGGCUUAACACAUGCAAGUCGCGGGGCAGCAUGGGGGUUGCUUGCAAUCCCCGAUGGCGACCGGCGCACGGGUGAGUAACGCGUAUCCAACCUGCCCUUCACCACGGGAUAACCCGGCGAAAGUCGGACUAAUACCGUAUGUUGUCCAUUGACGGCAUCCGAUUUGGACGAAAGGUUUGGCGGUGAAGGAUGGGGAUGCGUCCGAUUAGCUGGACGGCGGGGUGACGGCCCACCGUGGCGACGAUCGGUAGGGGUUCUGAGAGGAAGGUCCCCCACACGGGAGCAGAGACACGGUCCAGACGCCUACGGGAGGCAGCAGUGAGGAAUAUUGGUCAAUGGGCGUAAGCCUGAACCAGCCAAGUAGCGUGCAGGAUGACGGCCCUGUGGGUUGUAAACUGCUUUUAUGCGGGGAUAAAGUGGCCCACGUGUGGGUUUUUGCAGGUACCGCAUGAAUAAGGACCGGCUAAUUCCGUG
rnacentral:rRNA from 1 species